GUCAUACAAAGCGCUAUGCUUAACGCUGAUAUUUUGUCCCACCACAAGGAGUGGAGAAUGUCUUCCAUAACAAUGACUGAUAAUAAAACGUUCCUGAAUGAGCUGGCCCGCCUGGUAGGCCAUUCUCACCUGCUGACAGACCCCGCCAAAACCGCCCGCUAUCGCAAGGGUUUCCGUUCCGGUCAGGGCGACGCGCUGGCCGUUGUUUUCCCGGGUUCAUUACUGGAACUGUGGCGUGUGCUCAACGCCUGCGUUAACGCUGACGAAAUUAUUCUGAUGCAGGCCGCCAACACCGGUCUGACGGAAGGCUCCACGCCGAACGGCAACGACUACGAUCGCGAUAUUGUGAUUAUCAGCACCCAGCGGCUGGAUAAGCUGCACUUACUGGAUAACGGCCAACAGGUUCUGGCCUGGCCCGGUACGACGCUCUAUGCGCUGGGAAAAGCGCUUAAAC
rnacentral:misc_RNA from 1 species